AACGCAAAAUUCACAGCCAUUAGCAACGCUAAAGCAUUCCUUUGAGGUUGAACCCAUUUUCGGCGUUCUUGACCCAUGACCAUUGGGAUAUUGUUGUACAUUUUGUUUUGUUUGAUGGACUGGAGAAUAAAAUUCAUUGAUCUUGGGUGCAGCAUCCCAUCUGUUGAAUAAAUUUUACUUUAUUUCUAAGGGAUUACCUUCGUGUGCCCGUAUGGGGGAUGGUGCAAUGAUCAGUGAGACAUUU
rnacentral:snoRNA from 1 species